rnacentral:lncRNA from 1 species
AUGUGGAAUGGUGAACAUUUUGGUCUGGGCAUCCUUACUUUGUGCCCAGAGCAGAAGUUCAUUACUGCGUCAUGGCCAGGACUCAGUCUGCAGCAAUGGGAGCAGGGGCAGCUGCACUGUGUUGGGGGAGAACGCGACAGUUCUAGGAAGGCUGAGCAAAUCUUGACUUUGACUCUGAAAUGCACCGGGCAAAUCAAUGGAGCAAACCAGCCAAGACAUGUGAGAUUGGGUUCUGCUUCCCCCAUGUUCCACCAUUGGAUUGGCCUGGUAAGAAACCAGGACUUCAUCUACUGUGGUGUGUUGGUAAAGAAAUGGUAUGAAAAACAGCACAUUCAAGCCAAAAAGAGGGCAGAAAAGAGGACUGCAGAAGGGACCAGAAUACUUAACAGUCAGCAAAGCGAACAGGUAACUUGAUCUGGGAGGAAAUGUUGCGGGUCCUUGGGGAAGCCGAGUUGUGCGUUAUUAGCCAAGUUCAUUCGCAUUCAAGAAAACCCUCAGCCUGUAUUAUUUCCCUAGCACCAAGCCAACUAACAGAAACUGUGAGUUUGUAUGUGUUUAAAUAAACAAAACUAUAUCUCCA